UAUCUCUGUAGAGUCUGCAUAUCAAUAAGCGGAGGAAAAGAAACUAACAUAGGAUUCCCUUAGUAACGGCGAGUGAAGCGGGAAGAGCUCAAAUUUGAAAUCUUCAAGGUUUUACCUUGACGAAUUGUAGUUUAAAGAAGUGUAUUUCUGUUGAAGUUUUGGUAAAAGUUCUUUGGAAUAGGACAUCAUAGAGGGAUGAGAAUCCCGUAUUUGACCAUUACUUUCCAGCUGUUGUGAUACACUUUCAAAGAGUCGGAUUGUUUGGGAAUGCAGUCCAAUAUGGGUGGUAAAUUUCAUCUAAAGCUAAAUAUUGGCGAGAGACCGAUAGCGAACAAGUACCGUGAGGGAAAGAUGAAAAGAACUUUGAAAAGAGAGUUAAACAGUACGUGAAAUUGUCAAAAGGGAAGCGUUUGACACCAGUGUUGUUUUCUCGAAAAUCAAUUAAAAAUGGCUGGAUUUUGUGUUGUAUUGACUUUAAUCAAGCUUUCUUCACUUUUUUCCUGUCUUUUUUAAUGCACUUUUCGUUUAACAAGUCAACAUCAGUUUCUUUUGUUGUAAAAAGGGUCAUUGGAAGGUGGCUUUCUUUUCGGAGAGAAGUGUUUAUAGCCUUUGACUCCUGCAAUCGGAGAGACUGAGGUCUGCAGCGUAGAUCCUUCUUGGAUUAGAUUCAUUUGUGCUAAGUUAUAGCUUUUCAUAGACAACUUGUUGACUAUGAUUAGUCAUUGUAGCUUACUCGCUUAUGUAAUUUUACCUACGCUUAGGAUGUUGAUCUCUCACAGUCGAG
rnacentral:rRNA from 1 species